GUACAAGAAGCUGCGAAGGACAACAGGCGCCUGAUAAAGACAACAUAGAACAACGCACUGCAGGUCAGACACACACACGGAGGAUGGGUUUAGCGCUGCACUCUGGUUAAUUGGAUUGGACGGUGAAGAGUGUGGAUGUCCAAUGGGUUUGCCACACCGCCGACUCCACGUCAUGUGACCUCAGCGAAGGCGAUGUGAUUCUGGAGGAGAGAAAAUCAGAAGGAUGUCAGGUCUGGUGAAUCUGAAACCUUUGAAGAAUAUGAAAAGGAAAUGUCUACAAGCUUUGAAAGAGCCCAUUAUUUGGACAGCAAAGGUUUGUUUGCACAUCCUUUGUCUCUACAGCUUGAUGAGAAGGAUAACACGAUAGGACCAUCUGUUAUUCUUUCUAUAGCUCAGGUGAUGAUGAUUACACUAUCUGCAUCACAAAAUAUAUAGGCUGAAGGCAAGAUAAAAAUACUCUUAACAUUACUGUUAUGUACCUCUCUCUCUCUUUCUC